GUUUGGAAUCUGUUUCGAAAGUCUCAGAAUUGUAACCUGUAGAUGUGAUAAUCGGUUUGGUGAUGUGCGUUGUUCAAGUGCUCUGGAACGAGCUGCCUGAGAGGGUGAUAGCCCCGUACAGCGACGUGCAUUUGCCCGGUAAGAUUUCAUAUCGACGAGUCGAGUUGCUUGGGACUGCAGCUCAAAGUGGGUGGUAAAUUCCAUCUAAAGCUAAAUACCGGUGGGAGACCGAUAGCGAACAAGUACCGUGAGGGAAAGAUGAAAAGAACUUUGAAAAGAGAGUUAAAAGUACCUGAACUUGCUGAAAAGGAAAAGUAGUGGUGGCAGUGUUUGAGCUUUGUGGGGUUGGUUGUGGCUUUAUUGCUGCGGCUGUUUCCUUGCUUAGCUUGUGCCAGGGUGGGUUUCUGUUUGCAGGAGAGGGUUUGCUGCGCUGCUUCCAAGCAAUGCUCAUCCACGCUGCGAAUGAGACCGAGGUUAUACCGAUCCUGGCGAAAUGCUCCUCUACAUCCCGUCUUGAAACACGGACCAAGGAGUCUGACAUGUGUGCGAGUGCUCUGGGUGAACCCCACAGCGCGGAAUGAAGGUGAAGGAAGUCUUGGGCUUCUGAGGUAGGAGUGUCUYAGGACAUGCACUACCGACCGACCAUGAUCCUUCGGGUGAAAGGUUUGAGUGUGAGCACACCUGUCGGGACCCGAAAGAUGGUGAACUAUCCCUGAGUAGGGCGAAGCCAGGGGAAACUCUGGUGGAGGCUCGAAGCGAUUCU
rnacentral:rRNA from 1 species